ensembl:lncRNA novel transcript, antisense to ADH4, ADH6 & ADH1A
GACCAGGAGACUGGUGAGUCCUUGUGGAUUUCUUCCCUGCUCAAGUGCAUAAAGCAGGUGUAUUGCAUAGCUUUUCCAGGCUGAGAUCAAAGACGGAGAUGUGCCUACCCGCAGAUCCUAGAUGGCCAUGUUUGCAACAGAGGUAAUGAUGAGCAGUGCGAAGAUGUGACUCCAAAGCCUGGAGAAGGACAGACCAGCAUCCCUGCAAGAGAUCCAACUGUCUUCUUUUCCGCAGAGGUCCAUAAUUUACAUGGGCCUGACAAAGAAUACUGUAACUUGCAGAAAUUAUCUUCAGUUCAAAUCCUUCAUUUUGGGGGUUAAAUAACUUGCCCAAGAUGUCGAGGGAGCGGAAAUACUUGCUGGUCUUGCAGCGGCUGUGGAGCCUGGAAUCCUGCCAAGAAGAGCAUGUGUGAGAGAUCAAAAUGUUUGCUUACAUUCCUCCUGUGAAGGGAGUUGGGAAAUAACCUAAGAAGCCCAAUCCAAAAACAAAGAUGUACCAUCCAGUCUUCUCUGUGAGAACCAAACUACAAACCAUCUGAAUGUUCCAAAAGUGUUUUGAUGAUGUAUUGAUGUAUUUUAAAUUAUCCUGAAAAUGUUCUUGGCAGAUGCUUAAACAUGUAAUUACUGAGAUGAUGUAGAAAUACCAAGUGUUUAUUAAAACAAUACAGAGUAAUACA